GACGAACGCUGGCGGCGUGCUUAACACAUGCAAGUCGAACGGAAAGGUCCUGCUUUUGUGGGGUGCUCGAGUGGCGAACGGGUGAGUAACACGUGAGUAACCUGCCCUUGACUUUGGGAUAACUUCAGGAAACUGGGGCUAAUACCGGAUAGGAGCUCCUGCUGCAUGGGGGGGGUUGGAAAGUUUCGGCGGUUGGGGAUGGACUCGCGGCUUAUCAGCUUGUUGGUGGGGUAGUGGCUUACCAAGGCUUGGACGGGUAGCCGGCCUGGGAGAGUGACCGGCCACAUUGGGACAGAGGAACGACCCAGACUCCUACGGGAGGCAGCAGUGGGGAAUAUAGCACAAUGGGCGGAAGCAGGAAGCAGCAACGCCGCGUGCGGGAUGACGGCCUUCGGGUUGUAAACCGCUUUCGCCUGUGACGAAGCGUGAGUGACGGUAAUGGGUAAAGAAGCACCGGCUAACUACGU
rnacentral:rRNA from 1 species